AUUGGUUUCGCGCGCGUUCGGCGAGGAGCACUGCUGCGCUUGAUUAUGAGUAUUCGUGUUUACACGCGGCCCACCGUUGCAAAGAAUUGCGGCGAUAAAGCUCCAGGCAAAUUUUUUUGCGGUUAGAGCGGCCAUCUUAUUGUUCGUAUUCGGUUUUGUACGGAACUGUUUAUCACGCAUACAGUUUCGGCCACGAGGUUUCAACUGAAUUUUGAAGCAGUCAUCUUACUACACGCAGCGACCCUGGGUCUCUCCUCGGCAUCUGUUCCGCCACCGCACGCACACUCUCCAGCGCGACGCUCCCACACAAGUGUGUGAGAAC